rnacentral:rRNA from 1 species
ACCGGCUUGUGCGGGCGUUGCCUAAAUACAUGCCAAAGUCCGAGCGGUGACAGAUGGGAGCUUGGCUCCCUUGAUGUUUAGCGGGCGGGACGGGUGAGUAACACCGUGGUUAACCUGCCUGUAAGACUGGGAUAACUCCGGGAAACCGGGGCUAAUACCGGAUGGUUGUCUGAACCGCAUGGUUCAGACAUAAAAGGUGGCUUCGGCUACCACUUACAGAUGGACCCGCGGCGCAUUAGCUAGUUGGUGAGGUAACGGCUCACCAAGGCGACGAUGCGUAGCCGACCUGAGAGGGUGAUCGGCCACACUGGGACUGAGACACGGCCCAGACUCCUACGGGAGGCAGCAGUAGGGAAUCUUCCGCAAUGGACGAAAAGUCUGACGGAGCAACGCCGCGUGAGUUGAUUGAUGAAGUUUUCAGGGAAUCGGUAAAGGCCUCCUUGUUAGUGAAGAACAAGUGCCGUUCAAAUAGGCGCAU